AUCCAACUGAUCACAAGUCCCAAAUAGGACGAAAUGCGCAUCCUGGAU
rfam:Trichobilharzia regenti genome assembly, scaffold: TRE_scaffold0022034